rnacentral:rRNA from 1 species
AGAACGAACGCUGGCGGCAGGCUUAACACAUGCAAGUCGAACGCGUGUAGCAAUACACGAGUGGCGCACGGGUGAGUAACGCGUGGAUAUCUGCCUUUUGGUUCGGAAUAACCCCGGGAAACUGGGGCUAAUACCGGAUGGUUCCUUCGGGAUAAAGAUUUAUCGCCAAAAGAUGAGUCCGCGUCCGAUUAGCUAGUUGGUGAGGUAAUGGCUCACCAAGGCGACGAUCGGUAGCUGGUCUGAGAGGACGAUCAGCCACACUGGGACUGAGACACGGCCCAGACUCCUACGGGAGGCAGCAGUGGGGAAUAUUGGACAAUGGGGGCAACCCUGAUCCAGCCACGCCGCGUGAGUGAUGAAGGCCUUCGGGUUGUAAAGCUCUUUUGGCGGGGACGAUGAUGACGGUACCCGCAGAAUAAGCCCCGGCUAACUUCGUGCCAGCAGCCGC